CUGCGCAGCUUACCAUGCAAGUCGAGCGGUAACAGGGGGUGCUUGCACCCCGCUGACGAGCGGCGGACGGGUGAGUAAUGCAUAGGAAUCUGCCCAGUAGUGGGGGAUAGCCCGGGGAAACCCGGAUUAAUACCGCAUACGCCCUUUGGGGGAAAGCAGGGGAUCUUCGGACCUUGCGCUAUUGGAUGAGCCUAUGUCGGAUUAGCUAGUUGGUGGGGUAAAGGCCUACCAAGGCGACGAUCCGUAGCUGGUCUGAGAGGAUGAUCAGCCACAUCGGGACUGAGACACGGCCCGAACUCCUACGGGAGGCAGCAGUGGGGAAUAUUGGACAAUGGGGGCAACCCUGAUCCAGCCAUGCCGCGUGUGUGAAGAAGGCUUUCGGGUUGUAAAGCACUUUCAGUGAGGAGGAAAACCUUCUGGUUAAUACCCAUGAGGCUUGACGUUACUCACAGAAGAAGCACCGGCUAACUCCGUGCCAGCAGCCGCGGUAAUACGGAGGGUGCAAGCGUUAAUCGGAAUUACUGGGCGUAAAGCGCGCGUAGGUGGUUUGAUAAGCGAGAUGUGAAAGCCCCGGGCUUAACCUGGGAACGGCAUUUCGAACUGUCAGGCU
rnacentral:rRNA from 1 species